rnacentral:rRNA from 1 species
UCGGGAAUUUUGGGCAAUGGGCGAAAGCCUGACCCAGCAACGCCGCGUGAAGGAUGAAGUAUUUCGGUAUGUAAACUUCGAAAGAAUAGGAAGAAUAAAUGACGGUACUAUUUAUAAGGUCCGGCUAACUACGUGCCAGCAGCCGCGGUAAUACGUAGGGGCCAAGCGUUGUUCGGAUUUACUGGGCGUAAAGGGCGCGUAGGCGGCAAUUCAAGUCAUCUGUGAAAUCUCCGGGCUUAACUCGGAACGGUCAGAUGAUACUGCUUUGCUAGAGUGCAGAAGGGGCAAUCGGAAUUCUUGGUGUAGCGGUGAAAUGCGUAGAUAUCAAGAGGAACACCUGAGGUGAAGACGGGUUGCUGGGCUGACACUGACGCUGAGGCGCGAAAGCCAGGGGAGCAAACGGGAUUAGAUACCCGCGUAGUCCCUGAGCGGGCUGGCAAGGCGCAU